UACGUAGGGUGCAGGCGUUAAUCGGAAUUACUGGGCGUAAAGGGUGCGCAGGCGGUUUGCUAAGACAGGUGUGAAAUCCCCGGGCUUAACCUGGGAACUGCGCUUGUAACUGGCAAGCUAGAGUGUGGCAGAGGGGGGUGGAAUUUCAGGUGUAGCAGUGAAAUGCGUAGAGAUCUGGAGGAACACCGAUGGCGAAGGCAGCCCCCUGGGCUAACACUGACGCUCAUGCACGAAAGCGUGGGGAGCAAACAGG
rnacentral:rRNA from 1 species